CUACUGCCACACCUAAUUUUCUGAUUUUUCCCACUGAGAAAUCCACGUCCAGGAAAAUUCAAGCUCGCACCCAUUUUUUGGAUUAAAAUAUCCCUCACACCCAUAAUUUCUAAAAUUAUGUCUUCAUUCUUCCUCCGUUUUCUUUAAUGGCUUUUUUUUAUCAUGAGAAGAAAGUUCAGUUCUUCUUCAAGCAAGCAGUUGCUGGCUUCUUCUUCAAUUAGAUUCCACCUGAAUUAUGAGGGGAGAUCAAGACUUGGAUUCAGCUAAUGGAAUAGUUAACGACAUCACUGGAAGAAUCAAAUUAAUCGGUUUGCUGAUGUUGAUUUAUGUGAAUUAAUGGAUCGAUUUUGAGAUUGAGACAGAGACUUGAACGCUGGAUUCUCGGUGAUGCUCUACAACAACAAACAAUCGAUCUGGUGUUGUGUUUGAUUGAAGGAAUGAGAACGAAUGGGUACUUGAUUGAACAGAGAAUUAUUAACAGCAGCAACAAUGGAUUUGUGGUGAUGAUUGGACCAAUGCAUAACCUGUUACGGUCUUAGAAUUGGCUGGAAAUGCAUCAAGAGAUAACAAGGAAAAUCGCAGUAAGAUGCUAUUUGAACAACCAGCAGGGGAUCGACUAACUAAGCCGGAAGAAAAAGAAAAUGGUGACACCGGCCUUUAACCUUACCUGAUGUAUCUAAACCAAAACAAAGGUUUCUGUUACUUUAGUUUAGGAAUUCUUUCUCACCUCACCUCGUGACGGUAAUUGGGCAAAUACUACAAAACUCAUGGAUGGCUGCCAAUGUUCAGAACCCUCAAGUCAACAAAUUACGAUUACUCAUAGACUACUUGCUUAUUGGAUUAAGCUCAACAUUUUACUCGUGAUAAGUCUUUCUAUAGUUUCUAUGGAAUGCAGUCAACGAAAUCUUUGUUAUCACAUCUAAUGAAUUCUCUUUUCCAUGCCCUGGUACAUUUUUACGACUCUACACCUUUUGGAAGGAUUAUAACUCUGGUAAGCAUGACAAAAUUUUGAA